GAAAGCCGUGUGAGUUGGAAACUCUCAUGCACGGUUUGGAGGAGGGGAAAAGGCGGAGAUAAUUUCAAAGUCUCACCUAUUCUUAU
rnacentral:ncRNA from 1 species